UGAGGCAGCCAUUAUAACUAUACUUGAGA
rnacentral:sRNA from 1 species